rnacentral:tRNA from 1 species
GGGCUCGUAGCGCAGCCUGGUUAGCGCAUCGGACUCUUAAUCCGAGGGUCGCCGGUUCAAAUCCGGCCGGGCUCA